rnacentral:misc_RNA from 1 species
GGAAGAAUCUGGCAAGGAUGAUGAAAGCGGUAGGAAUAAUACCCUUGAGAAGCCAAGUAUCUUUUUUGCAUUUGUAUUGUUCCCUACAACACUAUCAAUUNNNNNUAUCUGCUUUUCUCUGGAAACAGGCUUACCGGUCCCUUGGACUGGCAUGCCACAUCACCCGACCAUGCUUUUGUGGAUAUGCCCUGGGGAUUAAUGUUCUUUCUUCGCCA